ensembl:lncRNA
UUUUUUUUUUUGCAGCAUCUGCUUUUUUAUCCUUCCCCCAGCCCACUGCUACACUGCCCCGCUUCCACUUUUCACACUUUGAUUGCAUGCAUCUCUCAUCGGAGUCCUCUGGUUAAUUGCAUCAUUCUAAUGGUCUUUUUCAUGAUCGUUCUCUGUGUCCUUCCCACGGAGGCAUGAACAGACUCCAGGAAACCACGCGAGGAGAGAAGAAACGAGGAGUUGUGUUUUCCGAGGAAGUCCGUUCCGUCGGAGGCGUCGUCUGCUUCUGAUCUGGACCAGCUGUCAGUCGGCUUUAACAGCUGGAGAGACUUCGACGGUUUGUGUCUGCAGAGAAGAUCACAGUACUUAAAUUAAUGAAGACAGUUCUUGCCAAUGUGGCAAAGAAUGUCGGUGUUCUGUGCCGUGCUUAAAAGCGCAGGACCGAUUUCUACCGCUGGGACACGUUUGUCUUGUUUAUUAAUUAUUUGCAGCUUUAUCUUUUGAAUUAAUGAUCGUGAAGUCCUUUUUUCUGACACUCAAGAAUGAUCAGCAUGACCUGCUGCUCAGAGCCGGGUGCGCGCCAACCUCCAUUUGUGAACCAUGCGCUGCAGGUGGGACCAAUGCCAAGGCUGCCUAAUGGUGCAGCAUCUGAACUGGGAAAAACACUUACCUAGCCCAACUAACCCCGGCGAUCUGCCCCCUGUGCUGGAUCUCCUUGGCCUUCCUGCUUGGUUUGCACCAGCAUAUGAACAAUAUUCAAUGAAUUUUGAAAGGUCCGAACUCUCCAAAAUGCCCCGAUUGGUUUGUUUCUCACAGUUACUUUCAGUUUGCUAGUUUGUUCCAUCUCCAUUUGUUUGCGUUGAGCUGAUUUAGAGGUACUUUCCCCAUUUGGACUGUGUUGGAAAUGUAUGUUCCGCAAAGGUUCCAACACUUCAUAUCUCCACUGUUGGGUGCUAAAUAACACAUGGGAACAGGAAUUAUGUAGCUCAAUAUCCAGUUUAAACCAAAUCAUGUAAAUGUAAUGUAAUAACUUGAUGCUGAUUUUCUUCCGCUCUGACAGUGAGGGAAUAAGAGCUUGUUGAAAUCCUCAGGCCAUGAGUGUUUUAUCAAGCAUGGAACAUUUUGGCACAGAUUUGACUAAAUAUAGUGCGGUGACACUUGAAUGAUGGAGAAUGCUAUUUUGGAAGACACAAUUAUAAAACCUAUAUCAGACCCAAAGUUCACUCAAUCCCUCCAAAUCUGGUGAGUCCUCAGCUUAUUCCCCCAAAAUGCACAGAGGAAAAAAAAGAAUACUAGGAAUACAUAAAAUUUGAAAAGGUAUUUAUUUUUUAGGACGUUAUAGGCUAUUUGCUAAUAAUUGGGAGUUUUGACCAAAAUACCCAAUAUGGCCUUUUCUUUGUAGGUGCAGACACACACGCAUGCAAAGAGGGUUUUCCUGCAUCCUUUCUUGUUUGGUGCAUGCCAUCUGUUGAUAGAAACUGUGCUGCAAACGUUGCAAAACUUCUUAUAUUUAUUUUAAUUUCUUGUGGCUUGGUAUAAUGGUGACGGUGAAUUAAAGUAUUUCACACUGACCAAUCAAAAAGAGGCUGAGCGCACACGGCGAGAUGUCAAUCAUUCCCUGCCAUUCUCUCUCUCCCGCUCCUGAAAUAAGUGUGCUCCAUAACAUUCACCAUUGUAGCCGUCAUGAUUAUGUCUGUGUUCAAAUCUCCGAGAGCCUCCCGCACCGUAUCCUUCUACUCAGGUGUCAUAAUUUAAGUUCCGAAAGUUGUCCUCAUCCUCCGUGUCAUCUGCUCAGUUUCACCAAGUUAAGAGAAGGAACCGGGCCGACCGCAGCAGUGGCUCCUCUAUUCACAGUGUAAUUUCACAGCUCAUUAUAGUCCAAGGAUCAUUCCCUUCAGAUGGUGUCAGCGGUCGUACUAGAUAUGCAUUACCUGGCAGAUCUGGGUCACGCGGCAUUUGAAAAUCAUUCUUGGCUCUUCUCCGGUGUCUAUAUCCAAAUGUUAAGACCAUCAGAAAGGAAUGUUUGAAACUUUACUAGUUAAAACCUCACGUAUUUUGAAUAUACUAUAUGAAUAUAAUAUAUGAUAAUAUUUGAAUUGUCCUGGUGUGUUUGCAAUUAUUUUUGUAAUAUUAGUAAGGGAUCACACAUAUACAACACAACAUUUUAUUUUCGUCGGAACUUAACCUUGACAAUUAGCAAUGGAAACUAAUUAAUGCUUUAUGCCUCGCAUCAUUCUAAUGAGCCUUAAUGACGCAUUUUAACGAAGUCAUUAAGUCGCCCGAUAAAGAUUGUAACGUAUUCAGCACACAGGUGUGCUAACAUUUAUCUUCAAAUCAAUGGACACCCAGUGCCUGAGCUGUAAUUAGACUGCGGGCCUCUGAUAAGGGUCAUGCACAAACUCGUGUUGUGUGCACUCAGCAAACGCCUGUAUGUAUGUGUGUGUGUGUGUGUGUGAGAGAGAGAGUGCUUGUAUACCUGCUGCCUCAGCUAGAGCUGCCAUGCAGCCGAGGUGGCUUUGCCACAGACUUGUUAUAAAUUAUCCGAUUGAGCUUGUAAGACAGAUCAAGUCUUGAUUUUAGCUCAAGGUGCAGUUGCUUCGUUAGGCUGCGCACAAAUAAAUACGAGGCACAACAUAGGCAGAUCUAAUUUACAAAGGUUAUUGUAGGUCUGCAGCUAGCACGCUAGCAACUUCUACUUGUUAAUGUGCUGUGCCUCAGGAAAGAAACCCGCGAUUAGCAAUGAAAGCCUCAUUGAUCUAUUGAUCCGGUGCAUGGAGCCGGUGUGUCCUGCCUCAACAGAACGCGUGCCGGUCUCGUGCCGAGAUUCUUCUAACAGCCCCCGUGUACAGAUGUCAGACAACAGAGAGCGUUUGGUUCCACAUUCUACUCCACCAUCAUCCAGUCCGCUGCUCUCUGUUCUUCCAUCACUGUGUGGUUUGGAUCCGUCUCUCUGAUGAACAACCUACAUUUGAACAUUCCCCUCAAUUCCACUCACUUUGUUAUAUAGAUUUAACUAUAUCAAUAUUAUUUUUAUUAUAAUAUUUUUCUUGUUCAUUGGUAAAACCUGUGUAUCGAUGUGGAGACCAAGCUGGAAACAGAUUCCAUGUUAGCAGAUUGCAGAUGUUGUAUACGAUGACAAGCACCAUUUUACAUUAAACCCAACAAACUGGAAAACCUUUUGCGUGCCGCAUAAUCUCAUGAGUAUGCUGGGGAGCAGUGUUUUUCUGUUUUUUUUAUCUUUUGGAACUCUUUGAACCCUCGGAAAAGAUUAAAAGGUGUAUGGUG